UAUAAACACAUAUAUCCAUCACAAUGUUUAUCUUUGCGCGUUAUGUUCUUACCGAAAGUCCAUGAUAUCAUUUACUAAUACAUAUGCUUAGAAUUAAACAUAUACGUCGUGUCUUGAUUAAUCAACAUACCUGGUCAUGCCUAUUUGUUUUUUUCCCCAUUAUACAUCUAUCUAAAUGUGUUCCGCUAGGCGAAUGCAUUGGUGAGGCUUGAAGAGAAGUCCGAUCAUUAUUGAAAGCUUUGGUCCAAUUGUCCCGAAUUUCAGAAAAGAGUGAAGAAGCUACUAGAGAAGGUAACUUCAGGCCCAUUUGAACUUUAUUCAUAUUAGCUAAAUCUUUUUUUUGCCCCUUUUUUGCCCUUUUUAACGUGGAUUUCUUUCGGCAACGUUCCAUUGUAAUUCGACGACUUGCAGGAGGGAAGAUAUCAGGACCUUCUCUUGGAACAUGGAGUAUUCCUCCAGUAAUUGAAGAUGAGGAUUUCUAUAGAUCUCAAAUUUUGAAUUCCAAGUGAUAAGUUGGACCUGCAGGCUCACAGAUAAUCAACUGAAGGUAAUGCAAAACCUCAUCAAUUUUUGCAACCUAUUGGAUUGAAUAUGAGAUGGUUACUGUUUAUUAAACAGACAAUUAAUUAGGUGAUGCUUGUUAACCCAUUAAUUUCUGUUUUUCUGUUUAAUUUUUUUCACAAAAAUAAAAACUUGUUUGUGUUAUUUAUAAUUGUAAAUAAAGCAAAAUUAUUACCACUAUUUUUGAAAAUAAUGAUAACAAAAAAAAAAUCUAUUAUUUUUUUUACAAAAUCACCGCCUCUACAUCCCUCUCACCCAACCCUUCACCGCUGCCACCGCCUCCGCCACCGCCCCGCCACCACGCCGCUGACUAUACACCAACUUGCCUUGGUGCCUAUGGCUGAGCUUGCUAUAUAACUUAGGCGAUAACAGUUUGAGUACCUAGACCCUCACCUUCACCAACCUUUCUAUGUCGGAGUAUUUUCCCUCUCCUCUCUCCCUUUCUAAUAAACACAAUGGUCUAACUCCUCUAUAUUCUUCUCUCAGUUUUGCAAAGUUGAUAGAUGCCCAUUCACUGUCUGCUCAUCUUCUUUUCGCCAAACCCAUCAAGUACUUGCACCUAUUUGAUGAAGCAGCUAUCAAGGCGGCUCAGGUAUUACAACUGUCUACAAAUUCUGCCUCCAUGUAUUGUAUAUACGAUGUAUGUAUACAUAUACGUUUAAUUUCUCAAGUCAAUUAGGUACUAUUAGGCAACGCGUUAUGUUGUACUUUGCUUAUUUUCAAUUAUGAUGAUUUGAAUUUUUGAGUUAUAAGUAGUGACCGUUUUGUAUCUCUCAAAUACAUAUCUUCACGCCUUUAAAUCUUGAAGUACGUAACAAACAUUUGAAAUCUUGUAUAUUUAUCUUGGCAAUAAUUAACUUGAGUUUGAAAUUUUUCGGGUUCAAUUUCAAACUCAAGUUAAUUAGGUUAUGAUAGACAACGCCUUAUGUUGUAUUUUCUCUAUUUCGUAUUAUGGCUGAUUUGAAUAUUUUGUAAUAAGUAGUGACGUUAUGCAUUUUUUUUGUUUUGGCGAAGACCUAAUUCCAUUGACUAUCGGGCUAAACUUCAACCACAAAUUAUUUAGGUAUUAUUUGACAAUGCUUUAUGUUGAACUUUGUUUAUUUCAAGUUAUGCUGAUUUGAAUUUUUGAGUAAUGAGUAGUGACUGUUUUGCAUUUAUUGUGUUGUGCGAGAACUGAUGCUAUUACCAAGUACUCUCAAAUACAUAUCUCCACGCCUUUAAAUAUUGAGGUACGUAACAAACAUUUGAAAUUGUAUAUUUAUUUUGUACAAUAAUUAACUUGAGCUUGAAAUUUUCCGGGUUUAAUUUCAAACUCAAGUUAAUUAGGUUAUGUUAGACGACGCCUUAUAUUGUAUUUUCUCUAUUUCAAGUUAUGCUGAUUUGAAUAUUUGUGUAAUAAGUAGUGAC
rnacentral:lncRNA from 1 species